rnacentral:rRNA from 1 species
AUGAAAAGAAAUGGCUGCUGGAGGUCGCUGACGCUAGUUCCAGCAUUUUGCCUGCACGGUUCCAGCAUUCUUGUUGCCCCGUUCCAACGCGCCGUAGUCGCGGUUGCAACAUCACGCCCUGUCCGCUCCCCGGCUCGCGGUCACCACGAACGCAGCAAAAAACGCUGUUGGUUCCAGCCCGCGGUCACCACGGGCACAACAAAAGACGCAGCUCUUUCCAGCUCGCGGUCAGCACGAACGCAGCAAAAAACACCGUUGGUUCCAGCUCGCGGUCACCACGGGCACAACAAAAAACGCAGCUCGUUCCAGCACGCGGUCACCACGGGUUGCAGCAAAACGCUGCUGGUUCCAACCUGCGGUCACCAUAUCCAGCACCGGCGGAGCCGGUCGCAGCAACAAAAAGGUUGCAACCGCAGGUCAGAGGUGCUAGAACAGGUAGAAGAAAAGCUGCGACCACACCUCGGCGCUGCUGGAACCAGGCGACGGAGACGCUGUGCGGCGAGAUGUUUUGCACCCACCGGCAACAUGUUUUGCUGGAACCGGCCAAACAAAAGUCGUAACUGGCAAAACAAAGCAAAAAAAGCCUAG